UUCAUGGUUUCGCUGAGCUUUUGACUGAAACACUUGGGCAAACAAUUGAUCCGGCGGCUAUUGCAAGACUUAUUGCACGCACAAGAUCACCUGAGCAAGGUGGUAGUGCUCGAAAUCAUGAUCAUCCUCGCUCAUCUGCAAGCAGCCAUCAGCCACGAAAUGAGGAAAACAUCUGAAGAUCCAUGCUUGUCGCUCUUUGGGGGAUUUAUUUGUUGUGAAGAUUUAGAACUUAAUCGUCUCAAUAGAGACAUUUUGACCUUUUGAUUAAGUAGUAGCUCUUUGUUUUAAUCAUGGAGGAUUUGUGAUAUGUGCUUAAUUUGGUAAGUUUGUGUGUAAAACUUGUGAAGAAUUAUCUCAAUCCUAUUG